UUCUAUCCAGUCACCAGGGACUUCACCUGACUGUCAUGACUUUUCAAUGAAAGUCCUGUACCAUGAAACUCAGUAUUUGUCUGCUGAUAAAUGAUGGAAAGUUUGGCAAGCACUUCUGUUAGCUCCUUCAGUGCCCUUGGGUAGAUCCCAUCUGACCCCAUGGACUUGGGCUCACCACCACUGAUUUUGUUUUCAUGGCAGCAAAUGGAUACACACAAAUGGAUAAACAGGGAAGAAGAAAGAUGUAGUGUAUUUUCAGAAUUUAGCAGAGCAAGAGCAAAGGUAAUAGGCUCCCAAACUAUUCUUGUAGGUAAGCCCCUGGUACAUGCCUACUUAGGACUAUUAUUGUCAUACCUGUAUACAACUGAGUAAUGUGUGCACAUUGCAGCCUGAUUAGAGAGGGAGUUUUGAAAGAACCGUGGUUUCAUAACAAUAAAUCUGGUUUUAGUUCACUUAGGAUUGAGCCAAAGCAUAAUAGUCACAAGAUGCUAACCAGUACUUUACUCAAGUUUACUCUGCUAAAUCAAAUGUAUUUACAUUUUGUUAUGGCAAGCCAGGCAUAGUAUCCUUCUGCAGCUGGCAUAAAUACCACAUCACAUGUUCAGGCUAAUUCAACAGAACUAGUCAUAUUGUAAGGGUCAAAUACAUAAUACCAGGUAAGCCAAGUUCUCUAAAUUUAGAAUUAUAGCUCAAUUGUUGCAAGUAACAAAUAAUUUCUCUUGUGAUUGGUAACUUGGUUACUGAUCUCCAUUAUAUCCUGGAAAUGUAAUGCAAGUGUUGGACCUGUUCAGGAAUUAAGGCAAACAGCUCCAAUGUUGAUACUUGUAAUAAAACUAGAGUAUUUUCCCUGCUAAAUGAUGUCAUUGUAACAUUGCUUUGGAAACACAGCUCUGACUUCCUGAGUUUAGUUAUAAAAAUGUGUUCUUCAGCAGGGAGGAAAUGUUGUCUACAAAAUUUCAGGUGUUUCUAUCAUUCUUGUCACAUGUCCCAGACUAAAGGUGUACCACAUUAAUUACUUUAAAUAUACAGUCUUAUCAAUUACUUUAAUCUACUAGCUAGGCUUUGGUGUGGUUUAAAAGGCAAUUCUUCAUCCUCGCUUCUUUCAUGGCUGGCUGUAUGUUCCCUCUCUUCCUGUCGCAUUGGAUUUAGCAAUAAUAUAGUGAAAAUUGGUUUGAUUCAGUAGAAAGUUCUCUUUCAGUUCUACCUGUUGAACUGACUCAUUGCACAAGAUCUAAUCAGAGGUGAAUGGGAUGAGCACUAUCUAUGGCCUUGUUAGCUUGCAGUUGUAUUAGAUUUCAGGAAAAUUAAGACACUGAUACUUAUUAGCAUUUUAAUUAGAAAUUCUUGGCUCAGUGUAUAAAAACAUUCUUACUUAUAUAUUCCAGCCCAUCAUUUGACUGCUUUUUUGUUUUCCACAGUUAUUUGAUAAAUUACUUGUUAUUGAGAUAACUAAACCAGGAAUUUCACAUUAUUUACACGUCCUCAUAUUAUUAAGCUGUAAUUUGCCCAACAGAGAUGAGGAUAAUUUACCCUACAACUCAGCAGCAUUUAAUAUGUGACUCUGCUAUAAGUAACUGUUAUAAAGCUAAGUGGCGUAGCCUGUAAAGUGACAUGAUAUUGUAGUAUUUCUUCAAAAAUAUGAAAUUAAGUGCCAUUACAUCCUAUAAUUAUAUAACUUAUCUUUGCAGCUUAGGAAAUGGACCCUGAUAGUCUGUGUAAUAUAAUAGUAAGUGCAACAAUGACAGCAGAGUAGCAAGAGCCCAGGCAAGCGAGGAAUUGCAGUGGACACAGAAAUAAGGGAAAGAAGACACCUUCAGAAGGCUUCAGAUGUGCACAUACUUCCAGAAAGAUAUCCUCUUCUUCACUGCCAACCCUUAAAUAAGAUCUGGGAAGAGAUGCAUCCUGGCUCCAUCCUUUCUUGUCACUCAGAGAAACCCUCUGCAGAGCCUGAUAACCCACGAUUGCCUCUGUCACAAAUGAUUUGUGCAGAAGUAUGCUUGCAAGUAUUUCAUUCAAAAUAUGUAGGCAUUGUUGGCAUUUAAAACUAUCUGAUUCUCUUCUACAUUGGAUAAAAAGUGUUUUUCACCUGGCUCUGAAAUGAUGUGCAUUUCAAAGAUGCUGUUGUGUGAUUGACUUUAAGAUAUUUAGCUUUGCCUUAGGCGUGUAUUUGGAGUUCUUGAUUUUUUUGUGUCAAAUUCAUAAUUUUUUUUAGAGGUUUGGUUAUUUUUUGCUUCUUUUAAACCUCUUCCUAAUUGUACAAUAAAUGGCUACUUUUUUUUCCCAGUUGUCAGUUUAACCUGAUCUGUAUUGUUUCUACUCUAGACUUCUAAAAGUUUUGUUGUUAUUUUCUAUACAAGGUAUUUUGCCAACUGCUGAAGUUGUUCCCGGCAUUUGUCAUUAUAGGAAUUCUGUUAGUCACAUUGUAAUUAUGGAAUUAGCCAGUGAAGUUAAAAGUUUCACCAGUAGAUAUAUCUUUUGAAAGGCUAUCUCAAUAGGACCUUUUCAUCCUAGGUUCAUUUUUUGCAGUGUUCAGUAAGUACUUUAUAUUUAACAAUAUUUCUAGUUGUUAUAAAUAUACAAUGAGCUUAAAAUGUAAUGUGUGUUUGUUGACUAUUUUUAUUGCAUGACAUGGUAGAAUUGAAUUCUUGUAUUACUUCUAAAUGUUUUCUACACCUGGCUGAUAAUUCAUGUAAGUGCCAUGCCAUUGAUUGUCUUAGUGUUGCUAUAUAUCCCCAUUUAUUCUAAAAACAAUAAGUCCUACGUUGAAGGUAAUACGUGAUUCUGUGACAUUACAAUAUUGUGAUGAAUAUAGUGAAAUAAAUGGUUUGUGCCAUCUAUUGGUCUGAACAGAAUCUGCAUUUCAAUUCAGAAUGAGUUGUAUGUCCUAGGGAAGCAUUCAGUUUGUAAAAGAAAAUCACCAUAAAUAAUGUAAUUUUUAAUGUCUUUUCUAUAUUAAGUGUCAACAAAUGUUAAAGAUGUGCUAAUUAAAAGGAACAAACUAAUAUGUUAUCCCUUUUCCUAUCUCUGCCUUGUUAACCAUUCCUAGAAGCUUAUUCUAAGUUUGAUAGAGUCUGGAAAUGUAUUUCCAAUAGGUUGGUCAUAUUUUAGCAGGAUUUAACAGUCUACACUGGUGGUAUAGAGUGCUGUGAAUGUGAAGUUUGUCUAGACAUGUUUGAUGGAGUCAUACUUUCUAUAAUAAUUCAUAAUUACAGUAUAUCCCGUCAUCACAUUUACUUAUAAAAGAGUAUUUAAAAUAAACCAACACCUUCUCCUUCAUGGAUUUUCUCUGUAAAUUUUGAUGUUAAGGCUGGAGUAAUAAAGCUACUGAUAUGGGAUGGACUUCAUUGAGUAUACUUCAUAUAUUUCAGUUUAGCUGAACAAACUUCAUAUCCUACAGCCUAAUAGACAAUUGUAUUUUCAACACCUGAGAUUGCAUGCUCAAUUCUUAAUUCAGUCUGUGUUAGCACUUGCAUAUUUGAUACGUUCUCUGUACACUGAGAUUAUAAAUAUUAUUCUGCAAUGA